rnacentral:sRNA from 1 species
CAAUGAACUCUGUGAGCAAUGUGAGGGGGAGGAAGGCACCCAAUGAAACUCCCCAUGUCCUUGAAGGGAGUUAGUCCCGUAGACGGCAUGGGGAGGAAAA